rnacentral:rRNA from 1 species
CACGUAGGGUGCGAGCGUUGUCCGGAAUUAUUGGGCGUAAAGAGCUCGUAGGCGGUGUGUCGCGUCGGCCGUGAAGACCUGUGGCUUAACUAUGGGCUUGCGGUCGAUACGGGCAUCACUGGAGUUCGGCAGGGGAGACUGGAAUUCCUGGUGUAGCGGUGAAAUGCGCAGAUAUCAGGAGGAACACCGGUGGCGAAGGCGGGUCUCUGGGCCGAUACUGACGCUGAGGAGCGAAAGCGUGGGGAGCGAACAGG